UACUGGACUAUGCAUAUUGUUAUCAGUGC
rnacentral:sRNA from 1 species